ACGGGCGGCCAUUACGGGCGGCCAUUACCCGGCAGAGGAAGAGUUCUUGAGGAGGGAAGCACUCUCCACCCCUCCUGUCUGCUUUGGGGAAAAGAGAAUACAAGAUAAGGGAGAAGACGGGAGGAAGAAGAGGGACAAGUGAAGGGGGUACAGAGGGAAAAGGACAGCAGUGAAAGGCUAGAGCGUGCAGGGGGCCGGCGGCCAUGAGGGCAGCAGUGUGGAGCAGGAGGGUGGGCGCUGGGGUAGGGGCAGCUGCCCCUGCUUGGAGGCAGUAUGUGCUGCGCCCCUCCGCUAGACACUGUGGGUGUGCUCGGAGUACAGAGACCACACAGCCGGGUAAGCCUGUGCCAUCCUGGAUCCCCACGCUGCACAUCACCAGGUCCACCACAGAUCUUCCAGGAAGACCGCGAUGAACAGAAGCACGGCCCUGGGGCUUGGGCGCACUGGUCCUAGGACACUGGCUUCCUGAUUACCGGGGGAGGCAGUCAGCAGAAGGUCGACCCAGAGACCUCCGGAGCAACUGGGAUGUAUUGAUGACUGGUGUGAGAGAGCAUGUGGGGUGGAGCGGCCAGAUGAUCCUAAAUUUCUGACACUCAGCAAAAUAAAGCUUGGAAGGCUGGGAAUCUUUGAUAGCUUUGAAAGCACUUGCUUCUUCAAGAGCUCUGUUUCCAGAACUUACAGCAGGAAACGGUUGCAUUUUGGGGUCCUACCUUAAAGCAGAAUAAGACUUGGCUACUCAGAGAAGGUAGGAAAACAAAAUGUGGAGGUAUGUGACUUUUCAACAGACAGCUCCUGAGAGUGACUGGAAGCUGAAAGAGCCCUCCCCUGAGGAAAGAGUGCUAACCUCUGAGAGUUGUCAAGGAGGAGAGACGUCCACCAGGCACAUCAAGUCUACUCUGAGGAGGCAGCAAUUGCCUUCAGUUUGAGAGAAGUUCAGAAGGCAUGCUGAGCCUCCCCCAGGAUAAUCUGAGUAUGUUUCCCGAUGAAAAAGAUACUUUGCUGCCUGGAUUGUUCUGUGAUAAGCACUCUUAAAGAUCAUAUUCAGUGAAUUGCAAACUUCUCAGAAGGAGAAGGUAGAUGAAGAAAAGCCACAAAGACAUUAUAAAAGAAGAUCCUGAGGACCUGGGGGAGGAGUGGUCCAGCCUCAGGUCAGUCGUGGCCGCUCCUUCUGCCACCAUGGUCCUUGUAGAUGAGGUAACUGAUGAAAAUGAUACUUAUACAGAAAUUAUCACUCCAGUGACGAACAAUCAGGAUGAAGAAGAAGAUUGCAUAGGAUGCUGCUUCCGGAUCCAAAGGAACAAUCGACAGACGUCACAAAGAUCCACCUCUGGCUGCAUCAGAAAGUUAUGCUCCUGGCGCCACCAGCGAGUGCACCCCGCUAAUGGGUCGGGGACAGAAGAAACCCCGGGCUCCCAUGAAAGGCUGCCCAGCACCGCAGGAGGAAUAGAGGCUCCAAGUGGCUGCACAAUGCCGGCCGAUGACGCAACUAAUAAUAAUGGCAUGGCUUUGGAGCGCCCCACUCCAGUGACAAACAAUCGGGGUGAAGAAGAAGAAGAUUGCAUAGGAUGCUGCUUCCGGAUCCAAAGGAACAAUCGACAGAUGUCACAAAGAUCCACCUCUGGCUGCAUCAGAAAAUUAUGCUCCUGGCUCCACCAGCGAAUGCAACGGGCUAAUGGGUCGGGGACAGUUCACCCUCGGCAUAUUUUGGUGAAGGAGUACAGCAGCUCAGAAGAUAUUCCAUCUGACCCCUCACUCAUGUUGUACGAGUGGCCUUACAGAAGCGGUGUGUAUUCAGAGAUCAUCUCUCCAGUGACAAACAAUCUUGGUGCAGUAGAAUGUGGGGCUUCCUUGCUGACAUUGGUUGCAGAGCCUCCAUAUCCUGGGUUCCUUUUGGAAGGAGACUUGGGGGUUUAGAGCAUACAGCUCUUCGCCACUCAUAGUUUUGCCCAAGAUGUCCAUGCCCUGGACACAAGUAUAUCAUGUUGAUGCCUUGGGUUUUACAUGUUAUGAGGGACAGGGAGUGAGGUCCAUGUGCGAGCACAUGUGGUGUUUUCCUCAUGAGAUAUUUCAUAUUUACAUGGACAUGACAACCAUUGAAUUUCCCCAACACAAUUUCCAUCCCUUCUGCACAACUUCUCUACAUUCAUGCAUUCUCCCUUCACCACCACUGUUCCCAGUUUGGCUUAAGUUUCCCCUUGCUCAGCUGGAGAUGGUGCAGAGACAGUUGGCCCAAGCUCUUGACCUCCUACAUGGAAAAUCUAAAUGGGGACCCAGGCCAGGUUAUCCAUGGGAGUGCCUGGACCCCUGACCUGCACCUCUCUCUCAGCCAGGAUUUUGUCAGUCAUGGAGCACUGACGGGGAAGGGUCCCUGCUCCAUGUCUAUGCCUGGUAAUACCAGGGUCUCCAGAGGUCCUGUAGAUGCUAUGCAUCUUAUAAGGUCCCUGUCAGUGCUGACAUCAUCGCUUCAACAUGGCCAAAGCAGAUGGGAAUCGGCGAGGCGUAUUCUUGUAUUGGACAGUGUCACUGUCAUUCUCACACUUGACCACCCUAGGUAGCACACACCCAGGCGAUCUUGCAAGUAAGAGCUCAGAGUUCACCCUCAUCCUGGUGUCCGGCACCACUGUACAAACUUGCUGCCCACCUGGGUGAGAAGGACUCUGUGUUCCCUCUGUGUUUCUCUCCAUGAAAUAAGUCCCUCAUGUUGUAAGACUCUUGUUAGUGUGGCUGUACAUUUAAUCAGGGCACAUGCUGCACACACCGUGUAGAAAAUGAAGCCUGGAGAACAACCAUGAUAUGAAUGAUAGUGGCUGUUUUUAAUGGUAGGAUUUCAGUAUUGUAAGUUCUUCUAUAUUGGGUUUUCUUUAAGAGCAGUGUUUUGUGAAUCCAUUUAUUAGCAUGCUUUUCCUGGAAAUCAGCCUUCCAGUAAAGUUGUAAUUUUUUUAGUGCUUUUUGUCUUUUCCUUCAUAAGUGACCACAUAUCGUGCCCUGUGCUAUCCAGUGGGAUCUCAUUGCUUAUCCACUCCCAAAGCAGUUGCUUGCACCUCUUAACCACAGAGUCCCAGUUGAGCGCAACAUACAUUUUCACAUAUAUUUGAUCACCAUCAUAGCUUCUAUGGGGUCAUAUCUUCUCAAGGUGUUUACCCAUUUUUAAACUCAGCUAUUUGCCCACAGUCUUUGUUUUUCAUUUUUUUGGUUUGUGUGUGUGCAUGUGUAUUUGUUUUGUUUUAAUUGAGUGUUAGUUUCUUAUAUUUUUUGGAUAUGGGUCCCUUAUCCAGAAGCAAUAUUUGCAAGUAUUUCCUCCCAUCCUAUACAUUGCCUUUUCAUUCUGUUGAUUGUUGAAGAGACUAUACUUUUUUGACUGGGGAAUCUUAGAACCUGGGCAGUGAUCAUUUGGCCAUACAUAUAUGAGUUUAUUUUUAGGUCCUUCUCUUAUGGAUCAUUGGUCUGUCUUCCUGUUUAGAUGCCAGGGGUAGAUGUUUUUGCUGCUGUGGCUUGGCAGUGUGUUUUGAAUCUGGGAAUUGAGACGUCUCCAUUGUUGUUCUUUGCUGUCAAGAUCAUCUUUUUAUUCUUUGGGGCUCUACAUGUAUUUUAGGAUUUUCUUUUCCAAGUCUCAAAAAAUGGCAUGAGGUUUUCUGAGUUGUUGCAGUAUAAUGUGUACAUCAUUUUCAGUAGCAGAGAAAUGUCGACAACAUUAAACCGUCCAGUCUAUGAACAUGGUGUGUCGUUCCAAGCACUUGCACCUUCUUUAAUUUCUUUCAGCCAUGAUCUGUAGUUUUCAGUGUACAAAUUGUUCACCCCGUAAGGGGGUGCCACUGCCUUCCUUGGGUCUUCCAGGCUCAGGGGUGAGAAGGAUGGGAUCAUGAAAAGAGUGAUGCAUCCCUCCCUCCCCUCUGCCCAUUCUCUCUGGUUUUGUCCAGCACCGGUGCCCUGGGCCAUGCUCCUCACUACUGGCAAAAAGUGGGGUGCCCUGCUGGGAAUUCCUCCCAGGUCAGAGUGUUGUUGACACUGCUGUUAGAGUGUCCCCAAGGACUCUCACAAUGCCUAGCAUGGGUCCAAGUGCCCAAGAUAACCUGCAAAUGAAAGAUCCCCUCUGGUCGUCCAAAUUCUCUGAAUGAACAGUGAGGUGAGGGUGGUUGGUUGUCUCUUCUUCAUCUUGCAAGCUCUUAGAGCCACUCUGUCCACUGUGGUACCCACUAGCCAGAAGUGCCUGCUUAUAUUUAACUUAGUUCAAAUUGUGGUUAACUCAAGCAAUUAAAAAGAAGCAUGCUCACACACACACAACACCCAAUGGUUUGAUCACACUAGCCAUAUUUCAAGUGUGCCCAUAAGUGUUGGAGUUUCUAGUGGGUCAGCUUGAAAGGGAGAGCUGUAAUGGACCUGUGGAAGUGAGAGGUUGACAGAUGCUUCUCUCAGCAUCUCUUUCUUGAAGGUUUGAAACUGUGAUCGAUGUCUUACUGAAGGACUGUUGCUCCACAGAGCCCAGGGGAGAUGUGAGCACCUGGAGAGAGGACUAGUGGGAUGCCUUGGAAGGCAGCAUUAGCUGAAGGGGAAGGGGAGAAAUGGGUGGGGCAACUUUCCUUAUAACAUUAUUGCUCAUGUUUAUGAUUCUGCAGAAUUUAUUGCGGAGAGCGUUGGCAGCAUCACUAACGAAGAUGAAGGUAGGAACAACACUGCCAAGGGUGAAAGCUUGGAUUCAGGUUCCCAGCUGGAGGGGAUCCCUUACAGCAGAUUUUGGCUUUGUUUUUAAAUUUGCCUAUGAAAACCAUAAGCUGACAGGGCACAACAAAACUCUGCGAGUCGCUUGACACUGGAGACCCAAGUUCUUGGAGCAAGUGUCUGGUGGUGGAUGAGAAGUAUACUCUGUCUGCACUUUCAGGAUCCCAUUGCUCUUUCUUCCUCACGUAAAAGCACUCCCAGGGUAGGAUGGCUUAUAGAGCACGUCUCUGGGAUCACGGAUGUGCUCCAGCCUCCUUCAGCUCAUCUCAGCCUGGACAGCUCACCCAAGGCUGAUGUGCUGAUGCACACAUCAUGUUUGAGGGAGGGCUCCAUGUCCACCUGCCUGGGGACCCUCCCCACCAGAAGGAAGUCUAGAGGAAUGUGUGAAGGGGAGGCUGGGCUUCUCUGCACACUUGCUCCCACAGACCCAUCCACCUGGUCUCCUGGGCUUGACCAGGCCCAGGACAGAGGCUCAGGGCAGCAGGGCCUGGGACCCCUGGUUCCCUGAGAAUCCACCGCUCAUCCAGGCAGCCUUGGCCCUGCUCCCCACACCCCAGUCAUGUGCACACCAUGUCCUCUCCUCAGGCCUGACCAGCUCUCAUCCCUCCUUGUCCUUCCAAGUCUAAGGGCAAAUCCUGGUAGGCACCCUAUGUUUAUGUAGAUGCCUGUUGGCUCAUUUUGGGGCAAGGAAUUUGGAUACAUUCCUUCACCUCUGAUUGUGCUUUUAUCCUCUCUGAGGAGCUGGGAAAGUCAGGGUGGUGUUGUGAGCAAUAAGCUUCUGCCAGAUACCUCAGGUCACCCCAGGUGCCAGCACAGGAUCAGGCCCAUGCCAGGAACUCCCUGGGUGGCAUCGAUUGGUUAAGAGAAACAUUGACUGCCUGGAGAGUGGCAACAUUGCCAUGGCCCUUCUUCCACCCUGCCCUCAUUGGAGGAAGGAAAUGAGCAGUAAUCAGAGGAGAGAAAUGAGGAAGGAGGGAGUCGGAAGCAGGGGUUCUGGAGGAAGGCCAGGGCAUGCUCCGAGGUUCAUGGGGACAGAUGCAGCCUGUGUGUGGAGCAGGAAGACACAGGUCUUAUUCCAAGUCACAUUGAGGGAAGCAGAGGGCUGCAGCAGGAUCUUGGGGAUCAGAGACCUUCUCCACUGUAGAUGUGAACCAGCUGAGGCCCUGGGAGGUCCAUGGAGGUGAGGACAGAAAGGGGCCCGAGACUGAGCUCCCUGCAGCAUCAUGGUCCUGAGGUUCCAUCUUGAUUCUAAAUCACCCCUUUCCUUUCCCAUGGCCUCCCCAACCUGGUGGCUGCCCCUGGACACAGAAUGUUACAUGGCAGAUAACGAGAAUUCUGACAAGGAAAGCAGAAUUAAGCGGAAGCGGAAACGCUCCCUGUUCCUGCGUUUAAGAAAAGCAUUUGGGGGGACAGCCUCCGAUGCCGAUGAUGAGCACACCUAGGAAGAGGCAGUGUCGAUGUGGCAGACCGGGGGUGCAAAGAUUGUCAGUUUGGCAUCAAUGACAACCUGGAUGUGAACACCCCCAGCCUACGCCUCAGCACAUCCAUACCAUCAGGACCUCCACCUAAAUAAGUCCAGAAGCAGCCUCACUCAAUGCUCACCUCCUAGGGCACCUCACUUAGUAUAAUCUCCGUUGUUUAACUGCAUAGAUUUAGUGUAUUAGUUAUAUCCCUAGUUUUAUCUUUUAGUUUUCUCUAUAUGUUCUAUAUGUUCAAUAUUUAUCUCUAUGUUCUGUCUUUAUGAAAUAAAAUGUUUCUUAUUAAAU
rnacentral:lncRNA from 9 species